CAGCAGCAGCAGCGAGUCGCUCGGCGCGCGGGAUGGAGCGGGCGAGCCGCGCACCACGACGCCGCCCCGCUGCGGCCUCCGCUACCGCGCUCCUGCCUCAGCCUCAGCAGCAGCAGCAGCCGCAGCAGCAGCAGCCACCAUCGCGCGGCGCGCCCACGGCCCCGAGGCGCCGCGACGAGGCGGGCCCCGGGCUGGAAGUGGAGGGCAACAUGCGCGCUGCCCAGCGGUCAUCGAGCUCCCUGGCGCCAGCCUGGGCACGGCGCGUGUCCGAGGUGGAGGCCAGGACCCCUGGCCUCGGAGCUUCCCACUCGCAGGCCCAGGCGGCGUUGAUGCUGGCGCAGGGCGCGAGACGGAAGGAAAAGAGAGGCGGCGCAACGAGCGGAGCGACGGCAGCAACAGCGCCACGUAGUGCAAGACAAGGAACGAAGCUCGAGUCAGGCGCAGACUGCGAGGAGGCGUCAGGGGCAGUUGGGGCGGAGCGGAGACCCGCAGAGAGGGCGGGUGCCAGCAGUGGAGCGGUGGGCACAAGCAGUGGUGCGGUGGGCACGAUGAGUGGAGCGGCCUGCUUGAAAGACUUGUGUCCCGAAGAUAAGCGUCGCGUCGCCAAUCUCGUUCGAGAGCUAGCCAGGUUGAGUGAGGAGAAGGAGCUAUGUGAGGACCGUCUCUCAGCGGAGACACUUUCGUAUCAGCAGAAGCUCCAGCAGGUGGAGGAGAGGCAGGAACUCAUUCUGAAGGAGAGGGAGGCCUUGCGAUUGCAGUACUCGGAGUGCCAGCAGCUGCUGCUUGCGUACCAGGAAGAGCUUUCUACGCGCACACACUUGAUCGGCAUGCAGGCCCGUGCAGAAAAUCACGCGGUCAGUAUUCACACGCGGCAAAUGGCAUCGUCAUUUGCCGAGCUGAAGUGGCUUACGCCUGUUAUUCGGAGUUGGGGAGGCAGUGAGGAUCGGGACUAACCAGGGCGGCCUGCAAGAAUCAAACCUCGAACCUCUGAACAAGUGACAAACACGUUACUACUGGGCCAUGUCACUGCCACGUGAGAUGAGGUUGCUAUGGAGCACGAGUUUUGUGCUUGAGAAUUAGAUCUAAAUGUAAUUUUAAAUAAGCAAGUGGAAAAAAAAUGAAAUAGAAUUCAUACGUACAACCAUACAUGCACCAACACAUUUGUUUAUAUAGUAAAAUUAUUGCAUAUUAUGGAUAACGAUAAAUGUAAAAAAUAGAGUUUGAACAUGAAUUCAGGUUCCUGAUCAACUUCAUCUUAAAACAGCUGUUUAAAUGAACUCCAUCCUUUUGCCGAUCACAUCCGGCAGUUCACUGGCAUUGGUUUCAGCAAGCCUGAAACCAGUCUCAGCGUUUGUUCUGUUCUCUUCCAGACAACUCCAGGGGCCCAGCCCUUUCUUGGUGCUGCUGAUUUUGGCAGCCCUCCCUCGGUCAGGCCACGUAUUGCGCUUCACCCGGCUCGAGACACAGACAGGCAAACUGAGACGUCGAUGGGAAGUCAGGCAGCAAUGGCACGUGGCUUUUACUCCCCGAGGGAAUAUGGAGUUGCCUAUGGGAACCGCACAGGUGCUCCAGCUGUAAUUAAUCCGGUAGUUCCUGCUGGAAUGCGGUCUGGGAAUGCACAGGGAAUCACAUCACAGUUGUGUCCCCCUCAUCAUGUGUCUUUAUCAGUGGGACAGGGGCAGGCAAACAGUUCUUACCAUGAGGCACCAUCAGCACAGGGUGGUGAGAUAGAGAGCAGGAUGCUUGCCAGACACCCACCAAAUGGGUUCACACUGCCGCUUUCUUUAUCUCCCUCGCAGAGUUCCCACCACCACGUAGCACGACCCAACUCCCAACAGCUGUCGGUGCACACCGUCCAUAAUGCACCCCAACGUAAUUCAGCAGCACAUAGCCCCCUGCAGAGACCGACACGCAGCCAUGCACGAAACGGGGGGAUUGGACAAGAUGGCAAUCCGAGGUUUGGCCCCGAGGCAGGUCCUGUCAGAACGGAGACACAAAAGGGGGGCUUCCAACCGCCGGGGUCGGUGAGUGUUGUUUCUUCCCCAGUGCCAAGACAAGGGACUACAGAUGGGGGACUGGUACCAGAAGUAGGAAAUAAAGGAACCCUUGUAAGAAGUGACGCUGGGAUGUUAAACAGCGACAGCAGGAAUCAUGCUAGAGAUGAAGGGAUGAUGAGGCAGAGUAGAGGUAGGAGGAGCGACACAGACUCAGGGUGGCAGUGUGAGGAGGGUGGAGUUAACGGACAGAAUGAGGAGCAGGGGGAGUGUGUUCCUGCUGAGCACUCUGCCAUUCCAACAGCAACUGUCCGGAGAAAUGUUCAUGAGCAGGGAGAGAUGGCGAGGGUCCCCGAGGACAUGCUUGAGAGCAGAUCGCGACGAGAAUACGAGCGAUUAGCGGACGUCAGUCAGGGAAGGGGCGGCAUUGAGAGGAAUGGCAGGAUGAAGGUGCUGCAGGAAUGUGAGAGAAAUGCCGGGAGAGAAAAUGUGAGCGAACUCGAAGAGGCAAGACCUGCAGUGCAAAGACAACGGCUGGAGUUGGAUGAGAGGAGGCAAGUUGAGGUGGGAGGUGAAGGUGGUACAAGUGACGGGGUGCGGAAUCGUGCGAGGGAGGUGCAAGAGGGGUGCGAUGGUCGUGGAGCCGUUGGGUCCGCACGCGCAACCAAGGCGGACGUGGAGAAGCAGCGGCGGGAGCUUGAAUGGGAGAGGGAGCGGCUGAGCCAGCUGCUGGCGCAGCAGGAGGCGCGAUUGGCAGCUGCACGAAAGCGACAUGGAGCACCCCCUCACUCGUGUGAAGAGAUGGCUGCAAGUUCCCACGUUCCCAGUUUUCUGCCAGUGCUAACGAGCUCUCCUUCACCCCAAAGGUACGAGGGGUCGGUGUACUCGCUGGGCGAGUCGCUGACUACCUCUCCGAGUCGUGUCAUCGGUGAGUGUUUCUUCAAGCCAACGAGACGACGCGGACCUGCGCCGGAGCCCUUCCAUCCAAGUGCAGUGCCGGGGACCUCAGGGGACAACUAUGAGGAAACGCGGCUGCUGGAGGAUGUCUUCUUUAUUUGCUGACUCUGUUUGGUGUGCGAUUGGCUACGCUGGUUCAAGACCAAUGGGUGUGAGCCUGGGAUGUCUACAUCCUGUCAUUUUGCUCUGAAAGCCCAAGUAUUUUCCAGCUCAAAUUAGCAAUGAAGCGUUGCUCAUCACCUGUUACAACCCUGAGCCAGUGGUGGAAAUGUCACAUUCACCUGGUGGGGCCGAGUUUCUCCAUUAGACAACCACUGUUGACUUCCCCACAAAGUGGAUACUCUUUUAAAGACCCAGGAAGGAUGUUGAGUUGAGUCGACCUCUGAACUAGAAUUGACCUCGGGGCCUUCCGAUUGCGAGCCACUCACUCUCCAUCUGAAUUACCUGGCUGAUAAUGAGAAUAAAAGCCUUUGCUGUUCUAGUCAAAUUUUUAUAUUAUAACAAAAAACGAUUGCUUCAUAUUUUGCAUACUCUGGCAUUUUCAUCACAAUUGGAUGAUGUUAACAUCAAUAAUAAGUUUGUGCUCGUUGCAUUUACAGUUUUAUUAUCCUCAAGAUUUUGAUGCAAUAUUUUCAUGAUUUUUGUACAUAACACUGUCAUAUUUUUGUAAAUUGUGUUCAAUUGACCUAUGAAGAAUACCAUUUUGUAUAUUAUGGAUGUAUACUUCUAAUUGUUUGGAAAUGUUUUUUUAAGAGUAAAAUAUUGCUAACUUAAGCUACUUUUGUUUUUUAAACGUUUUUUGAAAAAGUCAGUCUUGAGAGUAACGAAAGAAAAAUAUAUUGCACAAUCAUAACCGUUACUCCGGGGCAAGGGAAUGCAACCAAACUAACGAGAAGAGACAUAGUUUUCCAGUUCGGUACAAGAAUCCAUAUAAUUCAACAGUUGUGAAUACGAGAAGGUGGCCCUUGAGCUGCUUGCGGCUCCAGAGCCGUCUGUUACCGACCCCUGCCCCCCAGGGGCUCGCACAGUAUUAUUGUGAAGUUGACGCUUCAAGUUGUCACUCUUGAACGUGAACAAUCUGUUCUGGUCACCAUUCUAAGUGUGGUGUGAGCCUGAAGAUAAGUCUGCCAACCGCUUGCUCCACCCACGAUAUCAACAGCCACGGUUGUGAUAUCACUGCACAGCUGAUUGACAAUACAUUUCUUAUUAUUGAGCCGUAAAAAUUAUUUCAUUGUGUCCUGUCAAGGACGAGAUAUGAACUUUGGAGUCAACUUUGUAAAAAUUCCAAAUGGUGGAGCUAAUAGCAAAAAAAAAAAUUGCCCACUCGAUUCACUGUGUUAAGGUUUGAGCAUGGGGCAACUUGGACCAUCGAAAUGACUAGAGACACGGCGGUGGUCACCCCACUCGAGAUUGGUAUGCAACUGCUGCUCUUGUGUCGAUGAGUCAUUGAAGACGCGAGGAUAGAAACAAGCGAGUUGCGUUCACGACCAACAUUGCUCGCGGGCGCUUGGAUGGUCUUUGCCGCGCGAGUGGACAACUCAAAGUGUCCACACGGUGGCGCUUUGUAGUCGCGGAGCGAUCCAGUGUUGCCACCGUGCUGCAGCCGGGGAUGCGUUUCAGGUUCAAACAUUUAGAAUUGUGUUUUUUUUAUCGUCUUCAGAUGUAUGUAUUUGCAUACUGUAAUGUGCCUUCGUGAUUUUCAAAGUGACGUCACCUGAUGACAUCACUUUUGGAGGGAAGAGAAUGAAAGUGAAGUACUUGGGUCGAAUGUCUGCGUUGCUAUGAAUCUGAGAGCUGGGGCAGAUUCCUAUCCUUGAGUGGCAUCUUAAACGUUCACUUUUACUGUCUGCAGGAUUCCAACUGCGAUCUAUUGGGUCAGCAGGGGGCAUUUAUCAAUCUCCCAUUGAGCAAAGGUUUACUGCGCACACAUGAGAAAACUACAUUACAAACCUAGACACAAAACUGCAGUAUUCUGUAAUGAAGUUCAACACAAAACCAUCAGAUAUCGGUAGAAAUCCGUUCCUUGGUCAGCACAGAUGUCAAUUCUCAGACGGGUUGGGUUCUUAAAAUCUGAAAUUGUUCUUUAAAAUUUUGUGGGUGUUAUAAUACGUAACGCAAUAGUCAUGUUUGUCGUGGGGAAUCGAACAUAGAUCGGCAGACAAUAUAUUUUACACAACCCAUUGGCCCCACAGCCUUCUGUGAGUGCAUCAUUUCAGCAGUCUUUGAAGGAUACGUUUUGUAUGCUUACCAAUUAUGUGCGCAGUAUAUUAGGGUUGUCACCUGUCCCGUUUGAUCUGGACAGGUACCCAUAGGGCAGUGCAUGAAUCAGGGCGGCCUUCCGGUUUCGAACUGCGAAUCUCCAAUAAGCAGAGAACGCGCUACCGCUGGGCCCCCAAAUGGGCCAGCAUCUCCAUUCACCAGCGCUGCUGUCCAGCCACCACUCUGCAGGUCACCCAGACGACUUGCCCAGUCGCCACAGUGCAGGUCACAACAGCACUCACCCACCACACUCAUUCACCACGCGGAAGGUCACAG